CCUUAGAGUUUGAUCCUGGCUCAGGACGAACGCUGGCGGCGUGCCUAACACAUGCAAGUCGAGCGAAUGAAGUUCCUUCGGGAACGGAUUUAGCGGCGGACGGGUGAGUAACACGUGGGCAACCUGCCUCAUAGAGGGGAAUAGCCUUCCGAAAGGGAGAUUAAUACCGCAUAAGAUUGUAGUACCGCAUGGUACAGCAAUUAAAGGAGCAAUCCGCUAUGAGAUGGGCCCGCGGCGCAUUAGCUAGUUGGUGAGGUAACGGCUCACCAAGGCGACGAUGCGUAGCCGACCUGAGAGGGUGAUCGGCCACAUUGGGACUGAGACACGGCCCAGACUCCUACGGGAGGCAGCAGUGGGGAAUAUUGCACAAUGGGGGAAACCCUGACGCAGCAACGCCGCGUGAAGGAUGAAGGCUUUCGGGUUGUAAACUUCUUUGAUCGGGGACGAAUAAUGACGGUACCCGAGGAACAAGCCACGGCUAACUACGUGCCAGCAGCCGCGGUAAUACGUAGGUGGCGAGCGUUGUCCGGAAUUACUGGGUGUAAAGGGCGUGUAGGCGGGAUGUCAAGUCAGAUGUGAAAUUCCGAGGCUUAACUGUAGAAUAGCCGUUGAAACUGUGUUUCUUGAGUACAUUUGAGGUAGGCGGAAUGUGGUGUGUAGCGGUGAAAUGCAUAGAUAUACCACAGAACACCGAUUGCGAAGGCAGCUUACUAAACUGUCACUGACGCUGAUGCACGAAAGCGUGGGUAUCAAACAGGAUUAGAUACCCUGGUAGUCCACGCUGUAAACGAUGAAUAAUGGGUUGUUUGCGAUCCACUGCAAGGGACUGAGCGAAAGCAUUAAGUAAUCCACCUGGGGAGUACGUCGGCAACGAUGAAACUCAAAGGGAUUGACGGGGGCCCGCACAAGCGGAGGAACAUGUGGUUUAAUUCGAUGAUACGCGAGGAACCUUACCUGGGUUUAAAUGGGGAGUGACAGGCUUGGAAACAGGCCCUUCUUCGGACACUCUUCAAGGUGCUGCAUGAUUGUCGUCAGCUCGUGCCGUGAGGUGUCGGCUUAAGUGCCAUAACGAGCGCAACCCUUGUCAUUAGUUGCCAUCAGGUCAAGCUGGGGACUUUAAUGAGACUGCCACCGUAAGGUGUGAGGAAGGGGGGGAUGACGUCAAAUCAGCACGGCCCUUAUGUCCGGGGCGACACACGUGUUACAAUGGGAGGUACAGAGGGCAGCUAUCCGGUGACGGAAUGCUAAUCUCCAAAACCUUUCUCAGUUCGGAUUGGAGUCUGCAACUCGACUCCAUGAAGGUGGAUUCGCUAGUAAUCGCGCAUCAGCCAUGGCGCGGUGAAUACGUUCCCGGGCCUUGCACACACCGCCCGUCA
rnacentral:rRNA from 1 species